CACAUUUGCAUUUAUUGAACAAGAUUUCAAGCCACGGUAUCAACUAGUGUACUAAAGGAGGCUUUUUUACUUAUCACCUUGCCAUCUGCAGACAGAUAUGCUCCUCAUCAGACCUGUGCUCCAGACCUCUCAACAGCUUCACUGCCCUUCUCUGGACAUGCUUGUAGAGGAUGAAAGAAUGCGCCUCUUUAAACCCCUGUGAUUCAUGAUGUUACUUCAGUAGUAGACCAUUUCACUUCAUUUCACUUCUCCAGCUUUUGAUAGGCUUCAAUGCAUUGUCUCCUGAUGUUCCUGAAAGUAUGAAGUAUUUUCUGCUAUUUCAAGGUGUUCUCUAGCCUGUCUGCUACAAUAUGAAGAAGGACUCAGUGGCAGCAUUGAAUAAUUAUUUACAGAAGAGGUAAAAAAAAAAUUUUAGUUAUACAAGAGUGUGCAUGUCACACUUGUAGAAAUCUGCACCAGAGGAGGUGACCCACUGUUGCUAUCAUCACUGCUAAAAUGCACCACCCACUGUUUAUUGUGCUCACAUCCACUCUUUGAUCUCUAGAAAUGUUCAGCAAGCAUCAGUGAACAUCAAUGGGUGCCAUUUUUUCCGCAUGGAGGGAUUCAGUCACACACUUUUUCUUCAUAUGCACUUCCACACCAUUUUAUCAGACUGCUUCUCUGCUGCCAUCUGUCACGCAGCAACGAAAUGUAAUGAAAUGUUAAUGGGAAGGUUCAACCUCUACUGCCAUACCACCAUCAACCACUUCUAACGUCAUGGACCAUUAUAAUAAGAUAGAAGACAUUACUUUUGGAGAAGCUCUCAUACUUUUGUCACAAUAUAAGCUCUUCAUUGCUACUGGCAAUAUCUACUACUACAAGACCUAAAAUAAAUUACAUCUUUCGAGCUGAAAAACUGAUAGCUUGGAUUGGCAGUUUGUGAAAGUGCAUCAUACAGAAGAAGGGAAGAGCUUCAUAUAUUUGCUGACAUUCAGUCUUUGCUCUUGUAUUUUCUAGACUGGCAAAUAAUUGUGGAACAGAGAUGCAUAAAGAAACCUUUCUAAAGGGAGCAGUGGAUCUGUUCUUAAGACUGAUGACAAUUUCCUGGCUCUCCAUGGUAUUACUCCUGUCUAAAACACUAUUCUGUAUGUCAUUUCCUACUGCAUGUUUUUCUUUACCUCAAGUCUACUCUUCCCUAGUUUUCUCAUGUAAUAAAGCACUCUAAAAUACA
rnacentral:lncRNA from 1 species